rnacentral:rRNA from 1 species
AUUGAACGCUGGCGGCAUGCCUUACACAUGCAAGUCGAACGGCAGCACGGGAGCUUGCUCCUGGUGGCGAGUGGCGAACGGGUGAGUAAUACAUCGGAACGUACCCUGAAGUGGGGGAUAACGUAGCGAAAGUUACGCUAAUACCGCAUAUUCUGUGAGCAGGAAAGAGGGGGAUCGCAAGACCUCUUGCUUUAGGAGCGGCCGAUGUCGGAUUAGCUAGUUGGUGAGGUAAAGGCUCACCAAGGCGACGAUCCGUAGCGGGUCUGAGAGGAUGAUCCGCCACACUGGGACUGAGACACGGCCCAGACUCCUACGGGAGGCAGCAGUGGGGAAUUUUGGACAAUGGGCGCAAGCCUGAUCCAGCCAUGCCGCGUGAGUGAAGAAGGCCUUCGGUU